UGUAAGCGUAUACCAAAGUUGUUGCAGUUAAAACGCUCGUAGUCGGAAUUUGGCAGUUCCGGAUGUGUGCACGUCGUGUGCGCACUUCGCGGGGAUUGCUUUUGUGGUCUUGCGUAGGAUGAGGCACUUUUAUUAGUGAACGUCCUCACGCAACCACUUUUUACUGUGAGAAAAUCAGAGUGCUCAAAGCAGGCAUUUGCCGUGAAUGUAUUAGCAUGGAAUAAUAGAAUAGGACUUGGUUCUAUUUUGUUGGUUUGUUGGGACUGAGUAAUGAUUAAGAGUGACAGUUGGGGGCAUUUGUAUUUCGGUGCUAGAGGUGAAAUUCUUAGAUUACCGAAAGACAAACUGCUGCGAAAGCGUCUGCCAAGGAUGUUUUCAUUGA
rnacentral:rRNA from 1 species